ACCAUAUAUGUAUACGAAUUGAGCAAUGACUGUCAAGAGAGAACAGCUACAAAUACGUCUUCACUACGGAAGGGCGGCACGUUGUGACUAAAUCAAGCAUAAGUUUCCUUCACGUCCAUGCAGCUGAGACAGAGAACAUAAAACCAGAGAACAUAAAACAAAGAGAGAACAUAAAAUAUGUUUUAUGUUUUUUUAUGUUCUCUGGCUGAUUUUUGAUGAAUUCACGCACAUUUUCGAUGGAAUUUCCGGUGAUCACGGUUUUUGAUUGGCCUACAUGUUGAUCGUGUACAUCUAAAGAUAGUUUAUGUCCUCACGACCACUUUGAAAGCGUUGAAACCACUUGUGCACUCUGCUACGGGAUAGGCAAUCAUCGCCAUAAACUUGUUUCAUAAAUUGAAACGUUUCGGUGAAAGUUUUACCAAUUUUAAAACAAAACAAGAAAAAACGUUAACUAAGACUGCACCGAAGCAUUUCUUUUAGGUCUCCGAUGCUUCCUUCUGGGUGUUACAAACUUCGUGACAAACUUAAUAUACCCUGUUCAGGGUAUAAUUAAUGUUGGCGCUUUGUUCGAAGCUCAUUUUCGCACUGAUAACACAAACAUACUGACACUUAAAACCCAAUAACUUCACUUCCAAUCGAUGAAAUGUCAUGAAACUCUCACUGGACAAUCGAUAAAGAUAGCAGAUUCUAACGCUAGAUUUAAAAAGUCCUGUUUACUUCAGAACGCACCUUGUAUAUAUAAUUUGGUUUUGUAUGAAUGUAGUAAUAGAAAAUGUUGUGUUUAUGAUGGUUGUCCGGUUACAGGAGCAGUCCCUAAUGGGAAAGUUCACUUUAUAUUUUUAAAUAACAUUCUUUAUUUUUCACCCAAUCUCAUUGCAUCUGUAUUUAUGUGUGAGAGAACGUCUAAUUAGAUUUUAUUAGAUGUACACUUUCAUAUGUUCAGUUAGCAGUAUAUAAUGUAGUUUAACUCAAUUUCACAAAUUAAUAAUCAAAUUAUUUCAUAUUUGGGUAACUUUUAAGUUCAUUUCAACUUAUGUAAGUUAUUUGUAAAUUCUUAACAGUUGAGCAAUGUUCAACCAGAGAACAUAAAACUUUUAUGAUAAAGUAUAUGUUUUUAUGUUCUCUGCAUAUAUGUAGGUAAGGUAUU